rnacentral:misc_RNA from 1 species
UGUCAAUGUGUUUGCAUGCUUUAUUCCUUACUAGCCAUUUUUAUGCAUGCCUUCGUGUAUAUGUAGAAUAUAUGCUUUAUUCAUCAUGCGACCGGGUAGGAGGCUUGCUGGGCGACACCACAGGCGUUUGCGCCUCUCUCGAGCCUGAGGUAUCCUCCCUCUCCCCAGUUCUGGCCCCACUGGUUCUUGAGCAGCCAGUACGGGGUCCCAUCCUCCGCCGUGCCGUAGCCUACCGCCGUGACGGCGUGGUUCAGGUUCGGCGGCGUGCUGCAGCUGGCCGCGGUCAUCACCCCGCCACCGUAGAGCUGGAAGUUAUGUGCGUCGAUGGCAACCGACACCGGCUGGUUGGCGACGGCCGCGGCGAGCGCUGCCUCGUCGCCGCUCGGCACGUCCUGGUAGCCGCUGAUGGCGGCCACCGGCUGCACGGACUGGCACAUGGCCUG